UACGAAGGGGGCUAGCGUUGCUCGGAAUCACUGGGCGUAAAGGGUGCGUAGGCGGGUCUUUAAGUCAGGGGUGAAAUCCUGGAGCUCAACUCCAGAACUGCCUUUGAUACAGCACGUCUCGAGUCCGGAAGAGGUGGGUGGAAUUCCUAGUGUAGAGGUGAAAUUCGUAGAUAUUAGGAAGAACACCGGUGGCGAAGGCGGCCCACUGGUCCGGUACUGACGCUGAGGUGCGAAAGCGUGGGGAGCAAACAGG
rnacentral:rRNA from 1 species